rnacentral:rRNA from 1 species
UACAGAGGUCUCAAGCGUUGUUCGGAUUCAUUGGGCGUAAAGGGUGCGUAGGUGGCGCGGUAAGUCGGGUGUGAAAUCUCGGAGCUUAACUCCGAAAUUGCAUUCGAUACUGCCGUGCUUGAGGACUGGAGAGGAGACUGGAAUUCAUGGUGUAGCAGUGAAAUGCGUAGAUAUCGUAAGGAAGACCAGUGGCGAAGGCGGGUCUCUGGACAGUUCCUGACGCUGAGGCACGAAGGUCAGGGGAGCAAACGGGG